CGGCGAGUGAAGCGGCAAAAGCUCAAAUUUGAAAUCUGGUACCUUCGGUGCCCGAGUUGUAAUUUGGAGAGGGCAACUUUGGGGCCGUUCCUUGUCUAUGUUCCUUGGAACAGGACGUCAUAGAGGGUGAGAAUCCCGUGUGGCGAGGAGUGCGGUUCUUUGUAAAGUGCCUUCGAAGAGUCGAGUUGUUUGGGAAUGCAGCUCUAAGUGGGUGGUAAAUUCCAUCUAAAGCUAAAUAUUGGCGAGAGACCGAUAGCGAACAAGUACAGUGAUGGAAAGAUGAAAAGAACUUUGAAAAGAGAGUGAAAAAGUACGUGAAAUUGUUGAAAGGGAAGGGCAUUUGAUCAGACAUGGUGUUUUGUGCCCUCUGCUCCUUGUGGGUAGGGGAAUCUCGCAUUUCACUGGGCCAGCAUCAGUUUUGGUGGCAGGAUAAAUCCAUAGGAAUGUAGCUUGCCUCGGUAAGUAUUAUAGCCUGUGGGAAUACUGCCAGCUGGGACUGAGGACUGCGACGUAAGUCAAGGAUGCUGGCAUAAUGGUUAUAUGCCGCCCGUCU
rnacentral:rRNA from 1 species